rnacentral:tRNA from 1 species
UUUUUAAAAAAAAUUUUUUUUUUAAAAAAAUGGAAAAUUCUUUUAAUUCAAAGGAAUUUGAUUGAA